rnacentral:rRNA from 1 species
UUGUACAGGGCUGGCAGAGGAAAGUUUUCAGCUGCGGCCAUCACUACCGAUGAUUAUCUUCCGAUGCGAAGUACUGAAGUGAAAAAUCGGACAUCAGUAGAUGGAAUCAAAAGUCUCAGACUAAUCACAGCAGUCAAAACCCCCUAUUUGCCAGAUGGAAGAUUUGAUCUUGAAGCAUAUGAUUCUUUGAUAAACACACAGAUAAAUGGGGGCGCCGAAGGUGUAAUUGUUGGUGGAACAACAGGAGAAGGUCAUCUUAUGAGCUGGGAUGAACACAUCAUGCUCAUCGGGCACACUGUUAACUGCUUUGGAACUAACAUUAAAGUGAUAGGCAACACGGGAAGUAACUCAACUAGAGAAGCUAUUCACGCUUCAGAGCAGGGAUUUGCUGUUGGCAUGCAUGCAGCUCUCCAUGUCAAUCCUUACUAUGGGAAGACCUCAACUGCAGGACUGAUCUCUCAUUUCGACGAAGUCCUCCCGAUGGGUCCAACAAUCAUCUACAAUGUGCCAACUGGUCAGGAUAUACCCCCUGCAGUCAUUGAGGCACUCUCAAGUUAUCCAAACAUGGCAGGAGUGAAAGAAUGUGUUGGACAUGAACGGGUGAAGUGCUACACUGACAAAGGUAUAUCAAUAUGGAGUGGCAAUGAUGACGAAUGCCAUGAUUCAAGGUGGAAACAUGGUGCUACUGGAGUCAUUUCUGUAACUAGCAACCUUGUUCCUGGCCUCAUGCGCAGUCUCAUGUUUGAAGGGGAGAACACAACGCUAAAUGAGAAGCUACUGCCUCUGAUGAAAUGGUUAUUUUCUGAGCCAAAUCCGAUUGGUGUCAACACUGCACUGGCUCAGCUCGGUGUAGUGAGGCCUGUUUUCAGGAGACCAUACGCCCCUCUUUCUCUUGAAAAGAGGACCGAGUUUGUCCGGAUUGUUGAAGCAAUCGGGCGGGAGAACUUUGUGGGACAGAAAGAGGUGCGGGUUCUGGAUGAUGAUGAUUUUGUGUUGAUCAGUAGGUAUUAA